rnacentral:rRNA from 1 species
GAUGUUAAAGAGUUUAGACAUCUUUAACUAAAGUUCCGGCGCCUCGGGAGGGGCCUGCGGGCUAUCAGCUUGUUGGUGGGGUAACGGCCUACCAAGGCUAAGACGGCUAGGGGGCGUGAGAGCGCGACCCCCCACAAUGGAACUGAGAAACGGUCCAUACUCCUACGGGAGGCAGCAGUGAGGAAUAUUGCACAAUGGGGGAAACCCUGAUGCAGCAACGCCGCGUGAACGAUGAAGGCCUUCGGGUUGUAAAGUUCUUUUCUGGGGGACGAUAGUGACGGUACCUCAGGAAUAAGUCCCGGCUAACUACGUGCCAGCAGCCGCGGUAAAACGUAGGGGGCGAGCGUUAUCCGGAUUUAUUGGGCGUAAAGCGCAAGUAGGCAGCGUUGUAAGUUGGACGUGAAAGCUCCCGGCUCAACUGGGAGAGGUCGUUCAAAACUACAGUGCUCGAGGUUGGAAGAGGAGAGUAGAAUUCCCGGUGUAGUGGUGGAAUGCGUAGAUAUCGGGAGGAAUACCAGUGGCGAAAGCGACUCUCUGGUCCACACCUGUCGCUGAGGUGCGAAAGCGUGGGUAGCGAACGGGAUUAGAUACCCCGGUAGUCCACGCCGUAAACGAUGGAUACUAGGUGUAGGGGGUCACUGAAUCCCUCUGUGCCGUAGCAAACGCGUUAAGUAUCCCGCCUGGGGACUACGGCCGCAAGGUUAAAACUCAAAGGAAUUGACGGGGGCCCGCACAAGCAGCGGAGCGUGUGGUUUAAUUCGAUGAUACGCGAAGAACCUUACCUGGGCUGAACUACGUGGUAGUAGAAAAGCGAAAGCGGAUCGACCCUUCGGGGAGCCUCGAUAGGUGCUGCGUGGCUGUCGUCAGCUCGUGUCGUGAGAUGUUGGGUUAAGUCCCGCAACGAGCGCAACCCUUGUCGUUAGUUAUACGUGUCUAGCGAGACUGCCGGUAUCAAACCGGAGGAAGGUGGGGAUGACGUCAAGUCAGCAUGGUCUUUAUGUCCAGGGCUACACACACGCUACAAUGGCCGGUACAACAGGUUGCUAUACCGCGAGGUGGAGCUAAUCCCUAAAGCCGGUCUCAGUUCGGAUUGCAGUCUGCAACUCGACUGCAUGAAGGUGGAGUUGCUAGU